rnacentral:lncRNA from 10 species
CUUUAGUUAAAGGUGACGAUGGAGUUCCAGGAUGGCCUGGUUGAGCCUUAGCAACAAAAUGAGACCGUCUUAGUAAUAGCAAGCAAGGGAAAAGCCAGGGACCUCCACAUGUCCUUAGGGAGCCUGCUAGCCAGUGGGAGGGAUGGCGUUGACAAAAUGAAUUUCCGAGCAGUUAUUGGAAAAAUAAAACUGUUUCAUGUUUAUACCUCGAGGGUUUGAGGCUCCUGGAUCAAAUCCAUUAUAUUUAAAUAUUUACAUGUACAAAUACGUGUAUGUAUAUGCACAGAUCUUCCUAGGAGGCUACAGAAGAAAUGUAGCAAUUGCCUCUAUGGGAGUGGGGUGGGGACUAGGGACAGGGGUGGAGAGGAAAAUGAAGUAGAGACAGAGGAAGGAGGGAAAUCUACUUUUCACCGAUUCUGUUGUACCUCUUGAUUUUUUUUUUUUAAACGGUAGGCAUGUGUCAUUUUCAAUUAAAAUGGACAAAGGUUUUGAAAAUUUGCUGGGCAGUACUGUGUCUGACCUCAAGCUGUCAGCUGCAGUUGGAGUGGAUUUCCUCUUCUUAGGGUCCCUAGUGGAGAAGGGGGUACACUUUUAUGAGUGACAGGCCUGCAGUGUGCUGGCUGCAACCAGCCCCUUUGCUGCCUUCUCCUGGUUGUCCCUCAACCAUCCCCUGGGCUUGGCACAGAAAGUAGGGUUCAAGGGGUGCAGCUGUCACACUCCUGCCUAGAGCCAGGACCCCCCACCCCACACCCUGCCAAUUACAGAAUUACACCAGCCAGAGGGCUCUCACAGGGUAGCAGAUCUAUGCCCCACAUUUCACAGAUGGAGAAACUGAGGCUCAGGGAAGGAUAGUGACUCCACAGCAUCAGGGCUGGGACCCAGGACCCCUACCUUCAGCACCAGAGCUCUUUGCACCCCACCUGCUGCCCAACCUGGUUUUAGUUGAGAUUCCAAGGGACAGUGGCAGGUAGAGAAUGAAGUUUAAAUGGGUCGCCUUGACUCCUGGGGGACCCCAGACUGUCUGCCUGCUUGUAGGGGCUACUUGCAUGAAAUAGCUGCCCCACACCUGGCUCUGCCCACCCCUUAGCUGGGCUGCUGCCCGCCUCCUGUAUCCCUCCCUUCACCCCCCAUCCUCAUGAAGCUGUCCCUUUCCUCUUCUUCUCCCUUAUAAAUCCUUACCCCCAAAUCAUCUCUGCUAGGAAGGUCAUGCUGAAUGUGACCGCUCCAGGUCUUCUGGGUCCCCAGGGAAAGAUGAUGAUCUGAGCCUGGGGGUCUGCAUGCAGGUGGGUGCCAUUGUGCCCUGCCUGCCCCACCUCCUCCGCCAGAGGACAGACAUGGGUUUUCUCUUGUCUCGGUAACUUUCAGUCUCAGACCCAGCCCACAGGUGCUCCCCAUUCCCAGGAGGACAGCUAGGUGAUACAGCCACAUAGAACCCAGAGCCACAGGUCCCAGAAAGUCAGGGCUGGCAGGGCCUAUAGGCACCACAUAGUCAGGCUGUGAAAACAAGUUCCAAGGCCAAAUCUAUCUGGGAUGUCUGUGUUAAUAUGAGACCAGCUGCUUCCUGCAGGGCUUUUCAGAGCCUUUAACAUGCUGAUUGGGCAACAUGACUGUCCAAGAUGGGGCCAGAGGGUGCUCUCACCCCAAACUUAAGACACCGCAGAAUCUACUCAUGGAGCAGGCAAUCCAUGCUGGGAAAUUCUCAGGCCAGACUCAACUCAUAAAGGGAAAGACUUGAGGUCCACAGGGUGGAGGGGACCAGCUGAAAUGGGACCCUUGCCAGUCUUCUUACAGCACGUCUGUGCACGUGAGAACAAGGCACCCUCUCCUCAAUAGCAAGGUACUGCUUUUAUUAGCACAAGACCCUUUACUGCCAUCUGCUGGAAAUAUCUCAGCAAAUACACAAAUCUACAACAUACAUGGGAAUGGAGCCACCCUCCCCUUUAGAUAUGGUACUCUUGCCCAGUGCGUUACCUGCCCAACCAUGCCUGGCAGCCUGGGGCGGAGUCAUAUGAUCCCAACCUGCCCAUCACUCCCUUUCAGCCUGCACAAUAGUCAUAUAUCCUAGGUGAGGUUUCUGAACUGACCUCACAGCCUCAGCACCCUUGGGGAUACCCCCUUCUGAACUCCUCAGAGACGGACAGGGAUGCUGGGGCUUCAUCUCUGUGUCAUCCCUCUCAACCAUUACCUAGCCCCUGGCAGACUCACAUGACAAACUCCUGAACAGAUCCGGAUGCACAAGGACCGGGAUCCAGAUGGACCACAGGCUCCUCCUUGCUGUGUGACUCUAGGGAAGUCCUUACCCCUCUCUGAACCAGUUUUCCCUUCUAUAAAAUGAGGCAGUUGGGCUUGCUCAUCUCCUGGGGGUCAGAUAGCUCUGAACUGACAGUGACACCUCCACCUUCCAUGGAAUUUUGAGAAGAGCAACGGAGUCAUUCCCAAUUACCAACAGG